GGGGGGGGGGGGGGGGGGGGGGUUAGAGCAUUGGGCUAGUACCCAAAGGUUUCUGGUUUGUAUUUAUCCAAUGGAUUAAAGUGAGCAAAUAAGAAAUUCAUCACUUUUGUUGUGGGCUCCAACUCCUUACAGCCUCGAAUUAGUAAUUUGACGUUUUUAUUGUUUAAUGAAAUAAAACACAUGUAGGAUGAAGUAACCAGCCAGCAGGUCCCAUUUUUAGAGUCUUCGGUACAACUCGACCGGGAAUCUGACCCCCAACAUGCCAAUCUCAGGGCAGACACUGUGGAAAACCACAUCAGUCUAUCCCUAUCUAUUACCCUGUCUGUGUGUAACUCUGCGGCUGCAUUAAAUUCUCAAUCCGGGAAAGGUUCCAGUGAGUCACAGAUCAUCCCACUCUGUCUUUCAAAAACAUUACAUGUGACCUAGGUUGGUCUAGCGGUCUAAGCCCCUGCCUCCGCUGCAACAUGGGUUUGAAUCUGGUCCACUGCUAUUUCAGUACACUCUUUCCUACAUCUAUCCAAUAAACACUGAAGAUGAGGAGUGGGACUGCCUCGUCACAAAAAAUCUGUUGAAAUGUAACAUUUUAUUCAGUUGUACAAUGUUAUAAAUUAAAAGUUGUUUUCUUUUAAUGAG